AGUACACUGACAAAGAUUUGAGCCCACUGGAUUUUCGCAGGUUGUGUCCUCAUUGGGAAACCUGAUUUUGACCUACUCAUGUCUGCGCUUUUUACUGCACUAUAAAAAGAACUGUCACUCUCAGCGCCGCAUAUCAUCCAUGGCACUUGCGCUCUUGAUUAUCGCCUGCUUCUUUCUAAACCCCUCGUCAGAAAUCCUCCAUCGUACAACCUCCUCCUCCGCCCUCAAGAACCUCCACCUCCUCCUCCAGAACCUCCGCCUCCUCCUUCAGAACCUCCGCCAUGGUUUUCCCUUGAGCGUUUCUGAUGGUUCUCAGAGAAAACCCUCCGACUUAAGUUAAUUUGUGACUACAGAUUGGGUAUGGCUCUUGUGCAAGAACAUCCUAUGAAAUUUAAAUCUUCCUUGAAUCUCCACAAAAAAGUUCAAUUCGAUAGAAUUGCAAGCUCAAGGGAUAAAGAAGAUAUUCUCUCACCUUGAACUGGGUUAGCAACUUUGCACGGGUAUCUCAAGGUCAAGAUGCUCAUGCAAAUCACAUAACUCAACAUGCACCAACAAUGAGCAACAUCAAAUUGUUUUUUGCCACAAAUGAGAAUUCUGUGUCCCGGUGCCCAAUCCAACAUAAGGGUUCUUAAGAGGCAUACCUCAUUCCUGGCAGAAAUCAAUUUGAUGUUGCUGAGUGUCGAAGCAAUCUGAGUUAUGUGAUCGGAAAGAGCAUCUCGACCUUUAGAUAUCCUUGAAAGCUGCAAACCCAAAUUUCAGUUUCCAUCGAGAGAAUAUCUUUUUUGUCCCUCAAGGCUUGCAAUUCUAUAGAAUUAGAAUUUUUGUGCUGAUUUGAGGAAAAUUCACAUUUCAUAAGAUGUUCUCGCACAACAGCAGUUAGAACUAGCAUUGUAUUGAAAGAGCUCUAGGAAUAGGCCUAAACAUGGAAAGGAAAUGGAGAAUCUUGUUGGAACCAGCAAUGUAUUGAAGCUAUCAAGAGGGCUUUAGUGGGAAAAGGAUAAAAUAGCUAUAGAAAGAGCAAUACGAGAACCUCAUGAGAGGGCAUUUGCUGAAGCUGGAGAGAGUUCAACAAAGAGUUCUGGUAGAGGCUUAGGAGAAGCUUGAGAAAGCCUCUUUGGUGAAGCAAUCGGCUGAUAAGGCCUCCACACAAGUCAAGCUUAGAGCAGAAUGAGCUGCAGCGGAAAGAGCCACAACAGAGGCCCGUGAGCUUGCUCUAGAGAAAGCAAAGAACACAGGCUGACAGAUACCCCACAGAAAGGAUCUGGAAAAUGGAUGAGUACUGAAUCAGUGCCGAGAUGUGAAGCAAGAUUAGAGAGGCAUCGGAGGAUAAUGGAGCAAGCAGCAAAAGCACUUUCAGAGAAGAAUAUACAUGAUCCACUUGCCCGAAAAGAGCAGGCUGAGAGAAAUACAAUUUCUCUUACGACAAAUUUGAAUUACAAUGACUGACGAAAUCCCUGUAGAUUUGUAUUAUGACAAGACUCUGUGUCUUAUUGCAGAGACUAGCUGAAUCAUUUGAUGCUGAUAUUAAGAGAUGGACCACGCAAAAGUAGGGGAACUUGCAAUGCACUUCUCUCGACCUUGCGAUAUAUCCUUGGGCCAGACAGCGGCCGGCAGCCUAUUUCCCUGACAGAGAUCGUAACAACUGCUGCUGUAAACUGUAAAGAAAGCUUACAGGAAGGCAACUCUUUAUGCGCAUCCUGACAAAGUGCAUCAAGGAGGAGCUACCAUUCAGAAAAAAUACAUAUGCGAAAUUCUUCCGGUAAUCAGUUGAUGCACAUCUUGUAGCAUCACGUCGCUGUAAAGUCAGUAACACCUGAAGUGUAAAUUAGGAUAAUCCACAUGAAGAAAGUAGCAACUUCAAGUGACAGUAUUUGCCUCAAUGGGUUUUUGUUUCUAUACUCGUGUUACUUUCUCGCUUGGCUAUACAUCUCACAGACGCUCAAUGCUCUAUCUACGACAGGCGGCAUGGAACAGGUUCAACUCUGAGGAGAGGUGAAUACAAUGCAUUAGGCAAUAGUAUCCAGGGAUGUAUUUGUUUAAAUCAAUUUAUUUUUUCAUCUUGGAGAUGAGGUGCAUUCUCCCUAAUAUCACCAGAUGGGAGAACUGAAAAUGUGUUAGUGAAAUGCUUUAUCUUCAUAUCAAUGCGUAAUGUAAUUCAAUAACCAUGCAUCAGUUGAUAUGCAGAAAAGUGAAUAUAAUAUAGUUCAGACAGAUAACCCCGUUUUCUUACACUGCAAUGGGAGUCUGUUUAUUGGCAGUUGUGUAGGACUUUGGGAACGGACACCAUUGUAACAUUGGAAACAUACAUACACUAAAGAUUCCGA